AAACAAUAUUUUUGCGCGGACAUCUCCCUAGUAGAAAAAUAAAACUUCAUUUACUCACACGUUGAAAGAAGUGGAAUACCAACGAAUAUCAAAGCUGUUUU